AUGAACGGCGGAGGGGGCGUGGGCGCGGGCAAGAUCAGCCUGCGGCUGCAGUACUACGUGCUGCUGGCGGGGGUGGGGGCCGUGCUGCUCGUCGGCUGCCUCAAGUACAUGCCGGCGGCGGCGGUGGUGGCGGCCGGGUACGGGUCCUGGGGGAGCGGGCUGGCCGUCGCCAGCCGCGCCGCGGAGCCGGAGGCGUCCCCGGUGGUGAUCUUCAACUUCGGGGACUCCAACUCCGACACGGGCGGCAUGGCGGCGGCCAGCGGCCUCAACAUUGCGCUCCCGGAGGGCCGCACCUACUUCCGCCGCCCCACCGGAAGGCUCUCCGACGGCCGCCUCGUCAUCGACUUCAUCUGUGAGAGCCUGGGCACGCCUCAUCUGAGCCCGUAUCUCAAGGCGCUGGGCUCCGACUUCAGCAACGGCGCCAACUUCGCCAUCGGCGGGUCGACGGCGACGCCGGGGGGAUCCCCCUUCUCGCUCGACGUGCAGCUUCAUCAGUUCCUCUACUUCAGAACCAGGUCUUUCGAGCUGCUCAACAAAGGUGAGAAGACGCCUGUUGAUCGGGAGGGGUUCCGGAACGCCAUCUACGCCAUCGACAUCGGGCACAACGAUCUCUCCGCUUAUCUUCACCUCCCCUACGAUCAAGUGCUCGCCAAGAUCCCUGCCAUAGUCGGUCACAUCAAAUUCGGCAUGGAGACCCUGUACGCGCACGGGGCUCGGAAGUUCUGGAUCCACGGGACGGGGGCGCUGGGCUGCCUGCCGCAGAAGCUGUCCAUCCCCAGGGACGACGACAGCGACCUCGACGCCAACGGCUGCCUCAACAAGUACAACGACGUCGCCAAGGCCUUCAACGAGAAGCUCGCCGAGACCUGCAACCAGCUCCGGCAGCGCAUGGCCGACGCCGCCAUCGUCUUCACCGACCUGUACCCCAUCAAGUAUGACCUCGUGGCCAACCACACCAAGUACGGCGUCGAGAGGCCCCUCAUGGCGUGCUGCGGCAACGGCGGCCCACCCCACAACUACAACCACUUCAAGAUGUGCAUGUCGGGGGAGAUGCAGCUGUGCGACAUGGACGCAAAGUUCAUCAGCUGGGACGGCAUCCACCUCACCGAGUUCGCCAACGCCAUCGUCGCCUCCAAGCUGCUCACCGGCGACUACUCCAAGCCCAGGGUCAGGAUCGCCAGCCUCGUCAACUCCACCGCGCCUCACGAUGGCUAG
rnacentral:rRNA from 1 species